ACUAUUUUGACAGAAAAGUGUGAUGAUUUUAGAAUUCGUUUAUGUAUAAUUUUAAUUAUAUAGGUAGUA
rnacentral:tRNA from 1 species